CUUGUACUCCCUCCGUCCGAAAAUACUUGUCAUUGAAAUGGAUGUAUCUAGAUGUAUUUUAGUUCUAGAGACAUCCAUUUUGAUGAAAAGUAAUUCCGGACGGAGGGAGUACUUG
rfam:Triticum aestivum genome assembly, contig: Triticum_aestivum_CS42_TGACv1_scaffold_196873_3AL